rnacentral:rRNA from 1 species
AGUGAACGCUGGCGGCGUGCCUAAUACAUGCAAGUCGAACGGAGUGGCGCACGGGUGAGUAAUGUAUAGCUAAUCUGCCCUACACUAGAGGACAACAGAUGGAAACGACUGCUAAUACUCUAUAGUGUAGGAUGAGGCUAUAUGGUAUCAGAAAGUUGUUGCGGUAAAGGCUCACCAAGGCUAUGACGCAUAACUGGUCUGAGAGGAUGAUCGGUGACACCGGAACUGAGACACGGACCAGACCCCGACAGGAGGCAAAAGUAGGGAAAAUUGCUCAAUGGGUGAAACCCUGAAGCAUCACCGCCGCGUGAAGGAUAACACUUUGCGGAGCGCAAACUCCUUUUGUGAGGGAAGCGGUACCUAACGACUAAGCACCGGCUAACUCCGUGCCAGCAGCGGCGGUAAUAC